AUACGGAGGGUGCAAGCGUUAUCCGGAUUUAUUGGGUUUAAAGGGUUCGUAGGCGGAAAAUUAAGUCAGUGGUGAAAGCCUGCAGCUCAACUGCAGAACUGCCAUUGAUACUGAUUUUCUUGAAUUUAUAUGAAGUGGGCGGAAUGCGUCAUGUAGCGGUGAAAUGCACAGAUAUGACGCAGAACACCAAUUGCGAAGGCAGCUCACUAAUGUAAUAUUGACGCUGAGGAACGAAAGCAUGGGGAGCGAACAGGAUUAGAAACCCUAGUAGUCC
rnacentral:rRNA from 1 species